rnacentral:rRNA from 1 species
GACGAACGCUGGCGGCGUGCUUAAUACAUGCAAGUCGAACGCAAAGUCUCUACUGUUGUUUGCUACUCCAUUGACUAACGGUUGCGUAAGGGUGAGUUAACCGUCGGUAACCUUUCUGGUAGCGGCGGGUAACUAUUGGUAACGCCAGAUAAUACCGCCUAAUACUUAUUAUUGCUUGGAAAUUAUCUGCAAGUGGCAAUUGCCUCACUACUAAACGGCUUUUCGUUGUAUUAGCUAGUAGGUGAGGUAACGGCUCAUCUAGGGGACGAUACAUAGCCGACCGGAGAGGGUGGUCAGCCAGACUGGGACUGAGACACGGCACAGACGCCUACGGGAGGCAGCAGUAGGGAAUCGUCGGCAAUGGGCGGAAGUCUGACCGAGCAGCGCGGCGGGAGGGAGGAGGAUUGUCGGAUCGUAGAGCACUGUUGUAAGGGAAGAACGGGUGUGAGAGUGGAAAGUUCACACUGUGACGGUAUCUUACCAGAAAGGGACGGCUAACUACGUG